UUCAUAGGUUAAAAGAAAAAAAAUUGGAGCAAAUCAGACUUAAAAUAGAUCCUGAAUGGAGACUCAAAUUCAAGCUGAAAUUGGAUCCAAAAUCACUCAAAAAUCAAUCCAAAAUAACCUUCAGUGUAUGGUGGAUUGGCUACUCGAUCCACGAGUGGUCCACAAAAACAGACGCAGCUUACAAGAUGGUCCAUAGACCAGUGUAUGCCUAGCCUUCACGUGGCUCAUGGGAAUAGUAUUCCUGGUCUUUUAUCAUGGCACAUGAGUGGAGCAGGUUGAGUUUUAUGCGAUCGAAUGGUUUGCAUUGAUCCUGGGUU
rnacentral:lncRNA from 1 species